rnacentral:misc_RNA from 1 species
AAGUCGUAACAAGGUUUCCGUAGGUGAACCUGCGGAAGGAUCAUUACAGAAUAAACUUGGUUGGACUGUUGCUGGCUUCUUGGAGCAUGUGCACGUCUAACACCAAUGUUUCUUUUUUUACCACCUGUGCACUUUUUGUAGACUUUGGAGUAUAAACAUUAUGUUUUGAGGAUUGCUAGUGCAAAAGCCAAGCUUUCCUUGUAUACAUUCCUAGUCUAUGCUUUUAAUAUACACCAUAUAAAAGUAUUAGAAUAUUUUGGAUAGCCUUUGUGCUUUUAAAUGAAAUACAACUUUCAACAACGGAUCUCUUGGCUCUC